GGGGAUUUAGCUCAGCGGCAUAAGCGCCUGCCUUGCAAGCAGGCAGUCGUGAGUUCAGUCCCCG
rnacentral:tRNA from 1 species